rnacentral:rRNA from 1 species
AACGUAGGUCCCGAGCGUUAUCCGGAUUUACUGGGCGUAAAGCGUGUUCAGGCGGUCUAGCAAGUCGGGCAUGAAAUCUCUCGGCUCAACCGGGAGGGGUUGUCCGAUACUGCUGGGCUUGAGGGCAGCAGAGGGUGGUGGAAUUCCGGGUGUAGCGGUGGAAUGCGUAGAGAUCCGGAAGAACACCGGUGGCGAAGGCGGCCUGCUGGGCAGUUGCUGACACUGAGGCGCGACAGCGUGGGGAGCAAACAGG